CCCCUCAUCUAUGAGCCUUCACCCUUCGUUAUUUCAGUUCCUUUUUUUGUAUAUCAAGAAACCUAGUUAAUAUCGGGUGAAAAAGCUACCUCAUGGCACACCAAUGCGACGACCAGCCACACCCACCUUGAGCUUUGCCAUAAAUGUUAUAUGCUUUAAUCCAUUUGAUAAAGUUGUGGCCUGAUGUCUUGGAUCAACCUGUUCUAAACUGCAUAAUAGACAAGUUUGCAAUAUUUAAGUUACAAGCAAGCUAGUUAAAGUGUAGGUACAUAUAGGAUUUUUAGAACACUGUUUAAGGCUAGUGCAUGAUUGUGUUGUCACUUUGAUCUAGAGGUGAAUGAUGGUGCAUACAUGCACUAAUUAAUGACAUGGGGUUUGAUAUUUAAGAAUUGUAUAUGAAACUGCUAUAUAGAUGGCAGCGUUUUGGAUUUGUGUUCGUGAUAAGUCAAAUUGGUUUAAGGAAUAGUGUUUUCUA